rnacentral:rRNA from 1 species
UAUUGCGCAAUGGGGGAAACCCUGACGCAGCAACGCCGCGUGGGUGAAGAAGGCCUUCGGGUUGUAAAGCUCUGUCUUCUGGGACGAUAAUGACGGUACCAGAGGAGGAAGCCACGGCUAACUACGUGCCAGCAGCCGCGGUAAUACGUAGGUGGCAAGCGUUGUCCGGAUUUACUGGGCGUAAAGGGAGCGUAGGCGGAUAUUUAAGUCAGAUGUGAAAUACCCGAGCUUAACUUGGGUGCUGCAUUUGAAACUGGAUAUCUGGAGUGCAGGAGAGGAAAGUGGAAUUCCUAGUGUAGCGGUGAAAUGCGUAGAGAUUAGGAAGAACACCAGUGGCGAAGGCGACUUUCUGGACUGUAACUGACGCUGAGGCUCGAAAGCGUGGGGAGCAAACAGG